CUCCCUUGUUAGUUCCAUCUUAUAAAAACAACUAACCAGAAAAUUUUGAAAAAAUAAACGGGAAAAGAAAGGAAAGCCUACAAGUAAGGUAUCGUUACAUUACUAAAACAACUUCAGUAGCAAAUAACUCAGAAUGCACAAUAUAUUCUUCACAUAUCAACAAGGCAUCAACACUUUUUAGUAAAACUUCAGAAUAUGCAUCACUUCAAUAGCUGCUUCCUCUAUGCAAUGGUAAAGGCACAUUACAUAAGUUUUUUGUUUCUAUAACAUGCUUUUAUCUUAUUUGUAUUCUUCCAUUAAAGGUGUUCAAUUUUAGAGACUCAAUACAUGCUCCUAUUACCAUCCAAGCAUAAUGCAAACUGCAAAAACAAUUAGCCAAGAGAAUUCUUUUUCAUUACUCAAUGCCAAGUUCAUUGCCACAUACACAUGAAAAUAACAAUUAAGCAGUUGGCAGUACUAAUAUAAGUCUGCAUAUGAACAUUUCAUUUCGAAGGUCUAAGGAGAUGGAGUCCACUUCAAGGUUUUAUUCUUAAUAUAAACAUCCAAUGCUACAUGUUAUUUGCUGUAAUAAAGAACUUAAUGCAUAACAUGCAGGAAAAAACUCCUUAACAUAUGAUACAAGUGACGAAGGCAUACACAGCCAGUGAAUCAAUGGAGACAAAAGUAAGAUGGCUUCUUUUGACUAUAUAAAAGGCGUGAGAACUAAUCAAAAGGUUUAUGAGCAGAAAAAACAAGGAAAACUUAUUUAUGUUUUCUAAAUGACUAUAAAUUUCUUCUUUCACUAAAUGUGAAUUUAGUAAUUUGAAAAUCAAUCUGAUCAUGGUCAUCAAUAAAUUGUUACAUUCUAGGAGUUCAACUUUGCAAUUUAAAAAGCAAUAAAAAAAUAAAUAAAUAAAUCAGACGAAUGCAAUAGGAUGGCAAAUGACCUUUCCUUUGUAAGGAUCAAAAUCUGACAAAAAUCAUCAACAAUCAUUCAGUAAAAGGAAGAAACAUACUUGUCAAAUGGCAGAUCAGCACAUUUCCAGUUCACAUCAGCCAAAGCAUCAUGGUGAAUUCGACACUCUUCUUUGGUCCGUAAUCGGAACCUCCUUUCCUUUUUACACUUACUACAGCAAACAAACUCAUCGCGAUGACAAACUCGUCCAUUACAGGAUCUGUGGGAGCCAUUGGCAUUUUUUGAUGCUUGGCUGUAGUACUUGAGCAAUACUGUCUUUGACAAUGGAACCUUUUCCCCAUUAACUAUGACCCAGACAUUGUUUUUCCAUUUUCUUGCUGUCUCUCUUCCAGAAUGCUUCUCAAAUGCAGCUGGAGUCAGCUUGUCUUCAUUGCAACCAGGGGUGCAUUCACAGGUAAUUUCAAGGUCACCAUUGAUAAAAACCCUAAGCCUACCAACAGCAUCACCAUAUCUAUGGCUAGUACACCCACAUGUCACCUCUAUGUAAUCUCCACCUCUCUUGACGCCACUCAUCUCUCUCAACUCUUCAUCGCUAAACAAUAUCUCUUUCUCUAACCCAUUCGCCAUCUCGCUCGCUCUGUUAUGGCAAACCCAAAAACCCACAGCGAGAUCUUCGAGCCAAGAGCACCAAAACG
rnacentral:misc_RNA from 1 species